UACGAAGGGGGCUAGCGUUGCUCGGAAUCACUGGGCGUAAAGCGCACGUAGGCGGCCAACUAAGUCGGACGUGAAAUCCCCAGGCUCAACCUGGGAACUGCGUCCGAUACUGGAUGGCUUGAAUCCGGGAGAGGGAUGCAGAAUUCCAGGUGUAGCGGUGAAAUGCGUAGAUAUCUGGAGGAAUACCGGUGGCGAAGGCGGCAUCCUGGACCGGCAUUGACGCUGAGGAGCGAAAGCCAGGGGAGCAAACGGG
rnacentral:rRNA from 1 species